GUGGGGAAUAUUGGACAAUGGGCGCAAGCCUGAUCCAGCCAUGCCGCGUGAGUGAUGAAGGCCUUAGGGUUGUAAAGCUCUUUCAGUAGGGAAGAUAAUGACGGUACCUACAGAAGAAGCCCCGGCUAACUUCGUGCCAGCAGCCGCGGUAAUACGAAGGGGGCUAGCGUUGUUCGGAUUUACUGGGCGUAAAGCGCACGUAGGCGGAUUGGUCAGUUAGAGGUGAAAUCCCGAAGCUCAACUUCGGAACUGCCUUUAAUACUGCCAGUCUCGGGUCCGGAAGAGGUGAGUGGAACUCCUAGUGUAGAGGUGGAAUUCGUAGAUAUUAGGAAGAACACCAGUGGCGAAGGCGGCUCACUGGUCCGGUACUGACGCUGAGGUGCGAAAGCGUGGGGAGCAAACAGGAUUAGAAACCCUGGUAGUCC
rnacentral:rRNA from 1 species